rnacentral:tRNA from 1 species
GAGGGUAUAGCUCAAGGGUAGAGUGUAUGCUUAGCAUGUACCAGGUCCUGGGUCCAACCCCCAGUACCACCA